GGGAGCGUAGCUCAGUUUGGUUAGAGCGCAUGCCUGUCACGCAUGAGGU
rnacentral:tRNA from 1 species